rnacentral:tRNA from 1 species
GGAGGGUAUAGCUCAGUGGUAGAGUGUGUGCUUAGCAUGCACAAGGUCCUGGGUUCAAUCCCCAGUACCUCUA